GUCGAGAAUAAUUCACAAUGGGGGAAACCCUGAUGGUGCAACGCCGCGUGAGGGAAGAAGGUCUUCGGAUUGUAAACCUCUGUCCUUGGGGACGAAAAAAAUGACGGUACCCAAGGAGGAAGCUCCGGCUAACUACGUGCCAGCAGCCGCGGUAAUACGUAGGGAGCGAGCGUUGUCCGGAAUUACUGGGCGUAAAGGGUGCGUAGGCGGCAUGGCAAGUCAGAUGUGAAAUCCCCGGGCUUAACUCGGGGGGUGCAUUUGAAACUGCUGUGCUUGAGUGCAGGAGAGGAAAGCGGAAUUCCUAGUGUAGCGGUGAAAUGCGUAGAUAUUAGGAGGAACACCAGUGGCGAAGGCGGCUUUCUGGACUGUAACUGACGCUGAGGCACGAAAGCGUGGGGAGCAAACAGGAUUAGAUACCCUUGUAGUCC
rnacentral:rRNA from 1 species